rnacentral:lncRNA from 1 species
CAUGCAGUUGUAACUUCUUCAGUGUGUGAUUAUCUUUUGACUUUUCUAUUUAUUUAUUUUUUUUAAGAUCUUUAUGGUUAUGGCAAAAUCUUUCAUCAUCAGCAGAUGGUAUAAUGGACUACCAGUUGGAUGAUACACAGUCGUCUGAAACAUGAUAUAUACUUCUCCUCAUCCGUGUCCAUGCAGGUCACCAAUGAAGCUAUUGAAAAAUAUAAGCUGCUGAAACUUGCCUUUAAAAUAAGCAUCUCCAGGAGCAAGACAGACAAGUCAGAUGAAGGCCUGUGAAGGACCAUGUGAAACCUGUGAGAUAAAGGACAGUACACCUCAGAGCUGACAGAAUGAAAAUGUUACUUUAAGAUUUGAAAACAAAAUAGUAGAUGAAAUAAGCGGGGUUAUUCCAACACCAGGUGUCGUUUGCUUUGAUUAAAAUUUGGAAUGAGUACACUGCUACCUUACUAGAAAGCAAUGCUUGCAUCUUUUAAAGGGGAAAAAGGUUUCAUCUUCUGUAAUUAUGAUGAAGAUCAAGAGCUUUCUAACCAGUAAAAUCUUGGCAGAAUACCAUAAGUUGUGAUAAGGGCUGCUUUUGAAGAUUUCAAUAAAAUAUGCCUAUGUAGAGCA